GGCGUGCUUAAUACAUGCAAGUCGAACGGUAAGGCCGAGUGCAGCAAUGCACGAGGUACACGAGUGGCGCACGGGUGCGUAACGCGUAUGCAACCUGCCCCCAACCGGGACAAAACAGCUGGAAACGGCUGCUAAUAUCCCAUGGCCACGCGGGAGGGCAUCCUCCUGUGUGUAAAGAUUCAUUGGUUGGGGAUGGGCAUGCGUAUUAUUAGGUAGUUGGCGGGGUAACGGCCCACCAAGCCGACGAUGAUUAGGGGUCCUGAGAGGGUUAACCCCCACACUGGAACUGAGACACGGUCCAGACUCCUACGGGAGGCAGCAGUAGGGAAUAUUGGGCAAUGGGAGCAAUCCUGACCCAGCCAUGCCGCGUGAAGGAAGACGGCCCUAUGGGUUGUAAACUUCUUUUGCCGCAGAGUAAACCUGGGGACGUGUCCCCAGUUGAGAGUAUGCGGCGAAUAAGUAUCGGCUAACUCCGUGCCAGCAGCCGCGGUAAUACGGAGGAUACAAGCGUUAUCCGGAUUUAUUGGGUUUAAAGGGUGCGCAGGCGGACCGCUAAGUCAGGGGUGAAAAGUUGGGGCUCAACUCCAAUCGUGCCUUUGAUACUGGCGGACUAGAGUGCGAUAGGCGUGGCCGGAAUGUGGUGUGUAGCGGUGAAAUGCUUAGAUAUGCCACAGAACACCGAUCGAGAAGUCAGGUCACGAGUUCGCAACUGACGCUCAUGCACGAAAGCGUGGGGAUCAAACAGGAUUAGAUACCCUGGUAGUCACGCCGUAAACGAUGAUCCUCGUUGCCGGCAGUGAUGUUCGUGGC
rnacentral:rRNA from 1 species